AGAGUUUGAUCCUGGCUCAGAAUGAACGCUGGCGGCGUGCCUAACACAUGCAAGUCGGAUGUGCCGCAAGGUGCAUGGCAGACGGGUGAGUAACGCGUAGGGAAUCUACCUUUUUGUGGGGAAUAACGCUCCGAAAGGAGUGGUAAUACCGCAUGAGACCGUGGCCUGGGAUGGUUACGGUGAAACCUGGGGACCGCAAGGCCUGGGGCAAAGAGAGGAUCCUGCGUCUGAUUAGCUAGUUGGCGGGGUAAUGGCCCACCAAGGCGACGAUCAGUAGCCGGCCUGAGAGGGUGAUCGGCCACACUGGAACUGAGACACGGUCCAGACUCCUACGGGAGGCAGCAGUGGGGAAUUUUGCGCAAUGGACGAAAGUCUGACGCAGCAACGCCGCGUGGGUGAUGAAGGUCUUCGGACUGUAAAACCCUGUCGUCAGGGACGAAGGUUGAGGGGUUAAUAACCCUUCAGCUUGACGGUACCUGGAGAGGAAGCCCCGGCUAACUCUGUGCCAGCAGCCGCGGUAAUACGUAGGGCGCAAGCGUUAUCCGGAAUUAUUGGGCGUAAAGAGCUCGUAGGCGGUUUGUCGCGUCUGCCGUGAAAGUCCGGGGCUCAACUCCGGAUCUGCGGUGGGUACGGGCAGACUAGAGUGAUGUAGGGGAGACUGGAAUUCCUGGUGUAGCGGUGAAAUGCGCAGAUAUCAGGAGGAACACCGAUGGCGAAGGCAGGCCUCUGGGCAUUAACUGACGCUGAGGAGCGAAAGCAUGGGGAGCGAACAGGAUUAGAUACCCUGGUAGUCC
rnacentral:rRNA from 1 species